CAAUAGCGUAUAUUAAAGUUGUUGCAGUUAAAAAGCUCGUAGUUGGAUUUCUGGCAGGAGCGACCGGUCGCACACUAUGUGUGUGAACUUGCGUUGUCUCUGGCCAUCCUUGGGGAGAUCCCGUUUGGCAUUAAGUUGUCGGGCGGGGGAUACCCAUCGUUUACUGUGAAAAAAUUAGAGUGUUUAAAGCAGGCUUAUGCCGUUGAAUAUAUUAGCAUGGAAUAAUAAGAUAGGACUUCGGAACUAUUUUGUUGGUUUGCGUUACGAAGUAAUGAUUAAUAGGGACAGUUGGGGGUAUUCGUAUUUCGUUGUCAGAGGUGAAAUUCUUGGAUUUCCGAAAGACGAACUACUGCGAAAGCAUUUACCAAGGAUGUUUNCAUUAA
rnacentral:rRNA from 1 species